GAUGAACGCUAGCGGGAGGCCUAACACAUGCAAGCCGAGCGGUAUUUUUCCUUCGGGACAGGGAGAGCUGCGUACGGGUGCGGAACACGUGUGCAACCUGCCUUUAUCUGGGGGAUAGCCUUUCGAAAGGAGGAUUAAUACCCCAUAAUAUAUCUAAUUGCAUCAUUCGAUAUUGAAAGCUCCGGUGGCUAGAGAUGGGCACGCGCGAGAUUAGAUAGUUGGUGAGGUAACGGCUCAGCAAGUCAGUGAUAUUUAGGUGGCCUGAGAGCGUGAUCCCCCAUACGGGAACAGAGACACGGACACGACGACUACGGCAGGCCGCAGUGAGGAAUAUGGGACAGCGGGUGAGAGUAUGAUACAGCCAGCCCGAGCGAAGGACUGCGGCGCCGUGGGUUGUAAACUUCUUUUAUACUGGGAUAACCCUACUUCCGGGUAAGUAGAUGACGGUACCGUAUGAAUAAGCACCGGCUAACUCCGUG
rnacentral:rRNA from 1 species